GCCGUAGGGAAUCUUCCGCAAUGGACGAAAGUCUGACGGAGCAACGCCGCGUGAGUGAUGAAGGCUUUCGGGUCGUAAAACUCUGUUGUUAGGGAAGAACAAGUGCUAGUUGAAUAAGCUGGCACCUUGACGGUACCUAACCAGAAAGCCACGGCUAACUACGUGCCAGCAGCCGCGGUAAU
rnacentral:rRNA from 1 species